GCCUACUUCUUCGAUUGGAUUUCAAUGGAAUUCUUAGUGUUGGUCCAAGCAAGGAGGACAGCAGUACCUUCUUACACUGAUCUCUGCUGAUUCUGCCACGGAAGGAGGCUCCUGCUGCUUCACUCCAUUGAAUCCCAGCCGCCGCCAAGAGAGUCGCCACAUCGUUUGCUUUUUCUGGUGGCUCACAGCUGAAACACGUGCUGUCAGAAGAAAAGCUUGGUUCCCUCUUCCCACAUCCAGUCCAAUCACCACCAGCCGGCACAUAUUCUACUGGUUGUUUUGCCUUAAUGCAGCCUGCAAGUCCGACCCGUCAUAUAUUUAUCUGGAAGACAUAUUCCUUGCAUCAAGGAUGAAACAGAAGUGGUUGUUACUGGCAUGUUGUGCACUUGCGCUGAUGUUUAUGUUCGCAAGGCUAUACUCCAUGAUUCAUGAGGGAGUAACAGUGGAUUCGUUUCAACGGCUUGGGUCUGAUUUGGCAUCAAGAAGAAGGAGAUGGCAAAGAGCCAUCUAUUUCCAUAUGCUUGCAUGUGCAACUUCAGUUUUCUACUUUCGUGUUCAAGCCUGAAUAUAUAGACUAGGUCAUUCAUGUACUAUAUAUUACUAUGUCUACCAAAUUGGUAAGCGUAUUGGCUUAACCCAAAAUGGCAACAUGGUUCUUCUAUAUCAUACUGUCAAUGAGCUCCAACAUGAUUGACUCAUGAUGUCUCGGCAGUAUGUAUGCCUGAUGAGAUACGGUAUACCUUUUAUUGUUAACCGAUGCAGAU